rnacentral:rRNA from 1 species
UACGUAGGUGGCAAGCGUUGUCCGGAUUUACUGGGCGUAAAGGACGCGUAGGCGGCCAUUUAAGUCAGAUGUGAAAUACCCGAGCUUAACUUGGGUGCUGCAUUUGAAACUGGGUGUCUAGAGUGCAGGAGAGGUAAGUGGAAUUCCUAGUGUAGCGGUGAAAUGCGUAGAGAUUAGGAAGAACACCAGUGGCGAAGGCGACUUACUGGACUGUAACUGACGCUGAGGCAUGAAAGCGUGGGGAGCAAACAGG